rnacentral:rRNA from 1 species
GACGAACGCUGGCGGCGUGCUUAACACAUGCAAGUCGAACGAAGUGGCGAACGGGUGAGUAACGCGUAAUCAACCUGCCCUUCAGAGGGGGACAACAGUUGGAAACGACUGCUAAUACCGCAUACUGAAGGAGGGGAUUGCGUCUGAUUAGCUAGUUGGAGGGGUAACGGCCUCCCAAGGCGAGGGUCAGUAGCCGGUCGUGACGUAUUAACGGCCACAUAUGGACUUGGACACGGCCCAGACUCCUACGGGAGGCAGCAGGGGGGAAUCUUCCGGAAUGGACGAAAGUCUUACGGGGUAACGCCGCGUGGGUUAUGACGGCCUUCGGGUUGUAAAGCUCUGUUAAUCGGGACGCGGUACCGGAACAGAAAGCCACGGCUAACUACGUGCCAGCAGCCGCGGUAAUAC